AAUCUAUGCAUUGGACACUUUUGCAACAAGUUCUUAAAAUGAUCCCAAGCUUCACAUAAAUUCUUGUCCUCUAACUACAUGAAGGAGGUAAUAUCAUUCCUUAGCAU